GGGUUGCUAACCCAACGGUAGGGUAAUUGGCUCCCAACCGAUCAAUUGGGUUCGAGCCCCGGCCCCGGUC
rnacentral:tRNA from 4 species